rnacentral:rRNA from 1 species
GCGUGAGUGAAGAAGGUUUUCGGAUCGUAAAACUCUGUUGUCAGGGAAGAACAAGUACGAGAGUAACUGCUCGUACCUUGACGGUACCUAACCAGAAAGCCACGGCUAACUACGUGCCAGCAGCCGCGGUAAUACGUAGGUGGCAAGCGUUGUACCGGAAUUAUUGGGCGUAAAGCGCGCGCAGGUCGGUCUUUUAAGUCUGAUGUGAAAGCCCACGGCUCAACCGUGGAGGGUCAUUGGAAACUGGGAGACUUGAGUGCAGAAGAGAAGAGUGGAAUUCCACGUGUAGCGGUGAAAUGCGUAGAGAUGUGGAGGAACACCAGUGGCGAAGGCGACUCUUUGGUCUGUAACUGACGCUGAGGCGCGAAAGCGUGGGGAGCAAACAGGAUUAGAUACCCUGGUAGUCCCACGCCGUAAACGAUGAGUGCUAAGUGUUAGGGGGUUUCCGCCCCUUAGUGCUGCAGCAAACGCAUUAAGCACUCCGCCUGGGGAGUACGGCCGCAAGGCUG